GAUCCUGGCUCAGGACGAACGCUGGCGGCGCGCUUAACACAUGCAAGUCGAGCGGUAAGGCUCCUUCGGGAGUACACGAGCGGCGAACGGGUGAGUAACACGUGGGCAACCUGCCCCCAGCUCUGGGAUAAGCCUGGGAAACUGGGUCUAAUACCGGAUAUGACCGCUGGCCGCAUGGUCUGGUGGUGGAAAGUUUUUUCGGCUGGGGAUGGGCCCGCGGCCUAUCAGCUUGUUGGUGGGGUAAUGGCCUACCAAGGCGACGACGGGUAGCCGGCCUGAGAGGGCGACCGGCCACACUGGGACUGAGACACGGCCCAGACUCCUACGGGAGGCAGCAGUGGGGAAUAUUG
rnacentral:rRNA from 1 species